CCUACGGGAGGCAGCAGUGGGGGAUAUUGGACAAUGGGGGGAACCCUGAUCCAGCGACGCCGCGUGAGUGAAGAAGUAUUUCGGUAUGUAAAGCUCUGUCAGCAGGGAAGAAAGAAAUGACGGUACCUGACCACGAAGCCCCGGCUAACUACGUGCCAGCAGCCGCGGUAAUACGUAGGGGGCAAGCGUUAUCCGGAAUUACUGGGUGUAAAGGGAGCGUAGACGGUUAAGUAAGUCUGGAGUGAAAUCCCAUGGAUUAACCAUGGAACUGCUUUGGAAACUGUGCAGCUAGAGUGCAGGAGAGGUAAGCGGAAUUCGUAGUGUAGCGGUGAAAUGCGUAGAUAUUAGGAGGAACACCAGUGGCGAAGGCGGCUUACUGGACUGUAACUGACGUUGAGGCUCGAAAGCGUGGGGAGCAAACAGGAUUAGAUACCCCUGUAGUC
rnacentral:rRNA from 1 species